UGUGAAUAUGUAGAUUUAGUUGACAAAAUAGCAAAACUAAAAUCUGUUUAAAAGUACGUCUGACCAAAUCCACCAGUUUGGUUUGGCCCCCCCAAACUCAAACGUCAAGCUACGCCUAUGAGCA